ACUUUUCAGAUCUGUUUUACUUCAAAGAUUCUGAUUUACAUGCUUCUGGAAGGAUCACCUGUAAGGACAGAGCUGACUCAAGAUGGGUGAACUGAACAAAGUCAGAACAUGAAGAUCUGAGGUAUUCCAAGGCCAUAAGAGCAUAUUUU
rnacentral:lncRNA from 1 species